UUUGAUCAUGGCUCAAAUUGAACGCUGGCGGCAGGCUUAACACAUGCAAGUCGAGCGGGGAUAGGGUGCUUGCACCUGAUUCCUAGCGGCGGACGGGUGAGUAAUGCUUAGGAAUCUGCCUAUUAGUGGGGGACAACGUUCCAAAAGGGACGCUAAUACCGCAUACGUCCUACGGGAGAAAGCAGGGGAUCUUCGGACCUUGCGCUAAUAGAUGAGCCUAAGUCGGAUUAGCUAGUUGGUGGGGUAAAGGCCUACCAAGGCGACAAUCUGUAGCGGGUCUGAGAGGAUGAUCCGCCACACUGGGACUGAGACACGGCCCAAACUCCUACGGGAGGCAGCAGUGGGGAAUAUUGGACAAUGGGGGGAACCCUGAUCCAGCCAUGCCGCGUGUGUGAAGAAGGCCUUUUGGUUGUAAAGCACUUUAAGCGAGGAGGAGGCUUACCUGGUUAAUACCCGGGAUAAGUGGACGUUACUCGCAAAAUAAGCACCGGCUAACUCUGUG
rnacentral:rRNA from 1 species